CGAACCGAGCGAACGUUGUUCGGAAUCACUGGGCUUAAAGGGCGCGUAGGCGGGUAUUCAAGUCUGUGGUGAAAUCCGGCAGCACAACUGUCGAACUGCCGUGGAUACUGGAUAUCUCGAGGGAGGUAGGGGCGUGCGGAACUAAUGGUGGAGCGGUGAAAUGCGUUGAUAUCAUUAGGAACUCCGGUGGCGAAGGCGGCACGCUGGACCUCUUCUGACGCUGAGGCGCGAAAGCCAGGGGAGCAAACGGGAUUAGAUACCCCGGUAGUCCUGGCCCUAAACGUUGGGUACUAGAUAGUAGUCUUCACAUGGGAUUACUGUCGAAGCAAAAGUGCUAAGUACCCCGCCUGGGGAGUAUGGUCGCAAGGCUG
rnacentral:rRNA from 1 species